rnacentral:rRNA from 1 species
AUGAAGCUGGAAUUGCUAGUAAUGGCAGGUCAGCAUACUGCCGUGAAUACGUUCCCGGGCCUUGUACACACCGCCCGUCACACCAUGAGAGUUGGAAAUACCCGAAGCCUGUGAGCUAACUUUUAGAGGCAGCAGUCGAAGGUAGAGCCAAUGAUUGGGGUGAAGUCGUAACAAGGUAGC